UUAAAGAAAUAGGAAAGACAGGGAAAAGCUUCUAACUUCAACCCUUAGCAGUGAAAUUCUGUUAAUAUUUCU
rnacentral:tRNA from 1 species